rnacentral:misc_RNA from 1 species
AGCAAGAAAAUUCCCUUCAGGAACCAGUCAAACAACUAGGCCUGAUGUCUCCUACAGACACUAUGGAAAAUACUAGUAAUUUAUUCCUGAGCCAGUGUAUAUGAAGUUAUCUAUGUUAUUAUGUGUAUUAGAAUGCCUUUUGCUAUGGCAGCUUGAUUAAUCAUGAUGAAUUAACAUAAAAUAUUACAGCCUGUUGGUGGUGUUAUUUGAAAAUGCAAGUUAGUUGGGUCAGA